GACGAACGCUGGCGGCGUGCUUAACACAUGCAAGUCGAACGGAAAGGCCCGGCUUUUGUGGGGUGCUCGAGUGGCGAACGGGUGAGUAACACGUGAGUAACCUGCCCUUGACUUUGGGAUAACUUCAGGAAACUGGGGCUAAUACCGGAUAGGAGCUCCUGCUGCAUGGUGGGGGUUGGAAAGUUUCGGCGGUUGGGGAUGGACUCGCGGCUUAUCAGCUUGUUGGUGGGGUAGUGGCUUACCAAGGCUUUGACGGGUAGCCGGCCUGAGAGGGUGACCGGCCACAUUGGGACUGAGAUACGGCCCAGACUCCUACGGGGGGCAGCAGUGGGGAAUAUUGCACAAUGGGCGGAAGCCUGAUGCAGCAACGCCGCGUGCGGGAUGACGGCCUUCGGGUUGUAAACCGCUUUCGCCUGUGACGAAGCGUGAGUGACGGUAAUGGGUAAAGAAGCACCGGCUAACUACGUG
rnacentral:rRNA from 1 species